GGAGAUUGCGAUGAGGAUAAAAAAGCUCCCUCUUCUGAUUGAAAGUUGAGGAAAAUGCUGGCAGAAUCGAACCUAUGUCUUACUUAUGCCGCCGCUGAGCAG